CAGGGUGUAGCUCAGCAGCACAGCAUCUGACUGGAAAACACAAGGUCCUGAGUUCGAGUCCCAGUACCAAGA
rnacentral:tRNA from 1 species